UAGCUGGAUGGAAGAAAGUCAAAGCUUGUUUAUGAACUCACACAAGUAUUCAGUAAGUUGUAUUAUAUGUUGUAUAAACUAAAGUGGAGAUCACAUCAGCGGACGUACUCAGAUUGUCCAGAAGUGUUUGUUGGAUCAACACGUGAAGCGACCAACUAAAGCAGGAGCAACCAGCCUCCACUGUGAGCUUUGCCCGGUUGGGAGGUCUCCAUCUCCAUAUAAUGGUGUGGGAGAUGGAGCCAGGUGUUUGGCAGCAGCAGAGUGUUCAGGUGUAACUGUGCCGGUGAUGGGACAUGACGAGCAGCCCGCAGAUGAAGGAUGAGGCGUGGAGGAUUUUUGGGAAGAGGGGCACCCCACGACCUGCUCCCUCAAGAAUACCCCCGCUGACGGAGAGGAGAAUGGAAGCGGUGGAGUGGUUGCCAGGAGUAGUUAACGUUAACAUUUACGUCAGAAAAAUGCUGAGGUAUAAUCCUUAUAAGUCAAGUUACUGCUGCUUUGAUCUAAUCCACUGUUUUGACCUUCAUUUGUUGUUGCUAUUUUUCAUGAAUGCGCCCGGCUGUGUAGGAAGAGGACAUCCCCAUCCAAAACAUCCAGUAGUUGAUGGUUUCUAUAGUGGAAAUUGAAACCAUAGGGGAAUAAAUGGUUAAUUUUUCACUGCUGCUUCGUGGCUAAAGUAAUUAUCUUAUGUAAGUUGUUCAUCUUUAGCUGAUAUUUAAUUUAAAUAUGGCUUCAUGUUACGGAUCAGGACCUUUAGCGUGAGGCAUGCUCUCCUCCUUGUGUCAGGUGAGCGUGGGUUAAAGACACACAUUCACUGUACAAGAAGAAGAACAAAGACCUUUAGUCUUAGACGGAAAGCGAAGAAAAGCUGUUUCCACAGGAACAAGUUGUAAAA